AUUGAACGCUGGCGGCAUGGCUAAAACAUGCAAGUCGAACGGACCCGCAAGGGUUAGUGGCGGAAGGGUGAGGAAUAGUAUCGAACGUACCCUGAGGUGGGAGAUAGGCAUGGGAAACUGUGCGUAAUACCCCAUGAUCUCGGAAGAGCAAAGGCGCAAGUCGCCUUGGGAGCGGCGAUAUUCCUAUCAGGUAGUUGGCGGGGUAAUGGCCCACCAAGCCGAAGACGGGUAGCAGGUGUGAGAGCACGGCCUGCCACAUCGAGACUGAGACACUGCUCGGACUCCUACGGGAGGCUGCAGUAACGAAUAUUCCGCAAUGCACGAAAGUGUGACGGAGCAAUGCCGCGUGCAGGAUGAAGCAGCUUCGCUGUGUAAACUGCUGUCAGGAGUUACUAACACUGAAGAACUCCAGAGGAAGGACCGGCUAAUCUCGUGCCAGCAGCCGCGGU
rnacentral:rRNA from 1 species